rnacentral:lncRNA from 1 species
UCAGUUUCCAUUUAUUGGAUGUGCACAUGUUUUCCCUGCUGGAUUAACAGACCUGUUAUUGACACAGCUCAUCACAAGUCAAAGCCUCUCAUUUCCUCUGUCAUCAUAAAGGACUAACUUUUUAUGAGCCAAGACAGUAUUGGGUCCCUUCGUUUACUUUCAUAGCUCUUCACAACCUUUCUUGACCUCAGUAGCUGGAGAUGCAGGAGAUGAACUUCUGCGGCCCUUAGCAGUUGGGUGCUACCUGUCACUGAUGGGAGUCACACAGAGAUCAGAUAUGGCACAAUAGGAAGAAGAGAGCUGCUGCAGGAGUUACAAUGGCAGAUGAUAUGCAGCAGUGUUCCAGUUGUGCAGAUAAACAGUGCCCAGACCCUUCAGUCCUUGAAAGAUUUCUGCCCUGUUCCAUGGCUUUUCUGAAGAGAGAACCAUUUAUGAGCGCUGGAUGUCUCUCUGCUAAUGUGUGCAGUGGGAAGUUCAUGAGUCCUCCCUUCCAUGGAAUUCCCAUUCUUGGUGUUACAGAGUGGAGAUAA